rnacentral:rRNA from 1 species
UGGAUCCGUGAUCCGGGUUGCGGACAGUGUCUGGUGGGUAGUUUGACUGGGGCGGUCUCCUCCUAAAGAGUAACGGAGGAGCACGAAGGUUGGCUAAUCCUGGUCGGACAUCAGGAGGUUAGUGCAAUGGCAUAAGCCAGCUUGACUGCGAGCGUGACGGCGCGAGCAGGUGCGAAAGCAGGUCAUAGUGAUCCGGUGGUUCUGAAUGGAAGGGCCAUCGCUCAACGGAUAAAAGGUACUCCGGGGAUAACAGGCUGAUACCGCCCAAGAGUUCAUAUCGACGGCGGUGUUUGGCACCUCGAUGUCGGCUCAUCACAUCCUGGGGCUGAAGUAGGUCCCAAGGGUAUGGCUGUUCGCCAUUUAAAGUGGUACGCGAGCUGGGUUUAGAACGUCGUGAGACAGUUCGGUCCCUAUCUGCCGUGGGCGCUGGAGAACUGAGGGGGGCUGCUCCUAGUACGAGAGGACCGGAGUGGACGCAUCACUGGUGUUCGGGUUGUCAUGCCAAUGGCACUGCCCGGUAGCUAAAUGCGGAAGAGAUAAGUGCUGAAAGCAUCUAAGCACGAAACUUGCCCCGAGAUGAGUUCUC